GCUUUUGUGGUCACUGAUGCCUUAUUCUGCUACUAACCCUAAAAAGCACUAAAUGCACCAAACAGAAUGUUAUAAAUAAUUGUUUCCAAACAGGUUUCCAUGACAGGAGACGGCGUUUAUGCAUCCAGAAAAGCCGCUCUUGAUCUGGGAUCAUCUAGAGACUGAUGGUGUCACUUCUUUUGACACCAGAAAUGGCGUCUGAAGCGCGCUAAGAAGUAAGGGUGGAUCAGACGAGGCGCUUGCGUUUAAUGACAGUGGUAUGAGAUCAUUAUUCUGAAAUCAAUCCUCUAAUUGCUGUCCUCAGGUGCUUCUGGCUCUCAGCGCGGCCGCUCCGGAUCCAGGUGUGAACGCUGUCUCUGGUUUGGCAGAUUCCCCCUCAGUCGCCCUGUUUGGAUCAGAACUCAGAGAGGAAAGAUGCAUCAAACGCACCGUGAAAUCCACAGGUACAAUGCACCGAGACAGACGUCUGGUCAUAUGCUGCUUUGUUUUCAGGUUUAUAAUGUGCAAAAACAAAAGUACAAACAAAAGCUGCCCUUACAAAACCU
ensembl:lncRNA